AGCGAACGCUGGCGGCAGGCCUAACACAUGCAAGUCGAACGAACCCUUCGGGGUUAGUGGCGGACGGGUGAGUAACACGUGGGAACGUGCCUUUAGGUUCGGAAUAACUCAGGGAAACUUGUGCUAAUACCGAAUGUGCCCUUCGGGGGAAAGAUUUAUCGCCUUUAGAGCGGCCCGCGUCUGAUUAGCUAGUUGGUGAGGUAAUGGCUCACCAAGGCUACGAUCAGUAGCUGGUCUGAGAGGAUGACCGGCCACAUUGGGACUGAGACACGGCCCAAACUCCUACGGGAGGCAGCAGUGGGGAAUCUUGCGCAAUGGGCGAAAGCCUGACGCAGCCAUGCCGCGUGGAUGAUGAAGGUCUUAGGAUUGUAAAAUCCUUUCACCGGGGACGAUAAUGACGGUACCCGGAGAAGAAGCCCCGGCUAACUUCGUGCCAGCAGCCGCCGUAAGAC
rnacentral:rRNA from 1 species